rnacentral:piRNA from 1 species
UAGAGGACUACAUAAAGAAACUUCAGGU